AUAAAUCUCUCUGCUGUUUGUUGUUCUUGCAGCUCAGACGAGUUCUGCCACACACCAUCUAUUUAAACAGAGUGUCUGUGUUUGAGGCAACCAGAUCCAGACAAGACAACAACCUUGUAAAACGGUCACAUGAGGACAGGAUGGUGCAGCAGUCUCCCGAUUAUGACAGGUUUGACUGCCUGGUUCAUGUAAACGUUAGACCAAGCGAGGACGUGGCAGAAGUGCAAGAGGAGAU